CUUGAGUGAAAUUCUCCACCCAGCUGGAUUCUCAAAAGAAUGUUCUUGUCCCUAAGCAAUCAUUUAUAUAUUUUUUUCGAAACCCAAUGAAUUCACAUGUAGGAACUGCAGGAAGGGAGUGUCGAACAAUGUACAGUACCUCCCCACAUUACUCAGAUGAGUCCUUAUGUGAGAUUGGAAGCGAGAUAAUGGCAGUCAUGCAGCUGCACUUGCUAUGUGUGGGCACUGCAUUAGCCGCAGGGGAUGCUACAGCUUGCCAGAUUCGCUUAGCAGAUAUUAGCUUCUCAAGCUUUCAACUCGAGAGAGUUUCACUGUUUUGUUUUUUUCCCACGAUAAAGGACCGCCAUGAGGCUUCGUACGAGUUGUGGAUGACACAACUGGUCCACCAUGAAAUCAAGACCCAACCAGGAGUGGUGGUGCGACAGCGGCCCUAUCGAGUCCCGGAGGCCCGCCGCCAGGCUAUCGAGGAGGAGGUUAGCCGAAUGUUGCGAGAUAAUAUCAUCGAGAAGUCCAACAGCCCCUGGUCCAGCCCCAUUGUCGUCGUGCCAAAACCCGACGGAAGUAUGCGGCUAUGCAACGACUUCCGGAAGCUGAACCAGAAGACUCGGACCUGAACGAAGCCUCCACUCCCUAGCUGCACACGCGUCGUUGCCUGACUGCCGAGAAGAGCCUCGAUUCCUCCGGAAAGCAUCGGCGCGACGCCGGAAGCCCUGCAGCCCACUGAUCCCGCACCACACGCUGCCAUGCCCACACGCAAGCACACGAGAGCAUGCACGUACACCCUCGCACUCACGCACACCCCCAGAACCUCACAAAUAAAGAAAACUUUCGUUUCGCAGUUACAAUGGCCUCCUGUGUGUCUGUGCUCCACCCACCGCGGACUAAUAUCCUU
ensembl:lncRNA